UACGUAGGGUGCAAGCGUUGUCCGGAAUUAUUGGGCGUAAAGAGCUCGUAGGCGGUUUGUCGCGUCUGCUGUGAAAACUCAGGGCUUAACUCCGGGCCUGCAGUGGGUACGGGCAGACUAGAGUGCGGUAGGGGAGACUGGAAUUCCUGGUGUAGCGGUGAAAUGCGCAGAUAUCAGGAGGAACACCGGUGGCGAAGGCGGGUCUCUGGGCCGAUACUGACGCUGAGGAGCGAAAGCGUGGGGAGCGAACAGG
rnacentral:rRNA from 1 species